AACGAACGCUGGCGGCAGGCUUAACACAUGCAAGUCGAACGCUCGUAGCAAUACGGGAGUGGCGGACGGGUGAGUAACGCGUGGGUAACGUGCCCUGAGGUACGGAAUAACUGAGGGAAACUUCAGCUAAUACCGUAUGAGCCCCGAGAGGGGAAAGAUUUAUCGCCUUGGGAGCGGCCCGCGUCGGAUUAGCUAGUUGGUGGGGUAACGGCCUACCAAGGCUUCGAUCCGUAGCUGGUCUGAGAGGACGAUCAGCCACACCGGGACUGAGACACGGCCCAGACUCCUACGGGAGGCAGCAGUGGGGAAUCUUGCGCAAUGGGGGCAACCCUGACGCAGCCAUGCCGCGUGAACGAUGAAGGCCUUAGGGUUGUAAAGUUCUUUUACCCGUGACGAUGAUGACGGUAACGGGGAAUAAGCUCCGGCUAACUUCGUGCCAGCAGCCGCGGUAAU
rnacentral:rRNA from 1 species